rnacentral:lncRNA from 1 species
AAAACCCUAAUCCUUAGCCCCUUCUAGUCGUAGUGCUACCCAUCCAAAAUCUCAAAUUAUUCCAAAACCUAGCUGUUGUGAUGCCCAAUACAAACCACACAUAUCAACCCAAUGUAGCUGAUAUGCUGCCCAACCAAAACCCAAGAUAGUAGUAAAACCUAGCCAUCAUGCCACCCAUCCAGAACCCUAAAAAAAUCCAUUCUUAAUUCUCUAAGAAAUUCAACAAUUCCAUCCAUUAAUUAUUUAGAAACUUAUUUCUAAAUAAUUAAUAAACCAUUCAUCUUUUAUCCGGAGAUUAUCCUUUAGAAAUCCGAUAAUUCCUAAAACCACC